GACGAAGUGGUUGAUGCCAUGCUUCCAAGAAAAGCUUCUAAGCUUCAGGUAACCAGGAACCGUACCCCAAACCGACACAGGUGGUUGGGUAGAGAAUACCAAGGCGCUUGAGAGAACUCGGGUGAAGGAACUAGGCAAAAUGGCACCGUAACUUCGGGAGAAGGUGCGCCGGUGAGGGUGAAGGACUUGCUCCGUAAGCUCAUGCCGGUCGAAGAUACCAGGCCGCUGCGACUGUUUAUUAAAAACACAGCACUCUGCAAACACGAAAGUGGACGUAUAGGGUGUGACGCCUGCCCGGUGCCGGAAGGUUAAUUGAUGGGGUUAGCUAACGCGAAGCUCUUGAUCGAAGCCCCGGUAAACGGCGGCCGUAACUAUAACGGUCCUAAGGUAGCGAAAUUCCUUGUCGGGUAAGUUCCGACCUGCACGAAUGGCGUAACGAUGGCGGCGCUGUCUCCACCCGAGACUCAGUGAAAUUGAAAUCGCUGUGAAGAUGCAGUGUAUCCGCGGCUAGACGGAAAGACCCCGUGAACCUUUACUAUAGCUUUGCACUGGACUUUGAAUUUGCUUGUGUAGGAUAGGUGGGAGGCUUUGAAGCGUGGACGCCAGUCUGCGUGGAGCCAACCUUGAAAUACCACCCUGGCAACUUUGAGGUUCUAACUCAGGUCCGUUAUCCGGAUCGAGGACAGUGUAUGGUGGGUAGUUUGACUGGGGCGGUCUCCUCCUAAAGAGUAACGGAGGAGUACGAAGGUGCGCUCAGACCGGUCGGAAAUCGGUCGUAGAGUAUAAAGGCAAAAGCGCGCUUGACUGCGAGACAGACACGUCGAGCAGGUACGAAAGUAGGUCUUAGUGAUCCGGUGGUUCUGUAUGGAAGGGCCAUCGCUCAACGGAUAAAAGGUACUCCGGGGAUAACAGGCUGAUACCGCCCAAGAGUUCAUAUCGACGGCGGUGUUUGGCACCUCGAUGUCGGCUCAUCACAUCCUGGGGCUGAAGCCGGUCCCAAGGGUAUGGCUGUUCGCCAUUUAAAGUGGUACGCGAGCUGGGUUUAGAACGUCGUGAGACAGUUCGGUCCCUAUCUGCCGUGGACGUUUGAGAUUUGAGAGGGGCUGCUCCUAGUACGAGAGGACCGGAGUGGACGAACCUCUGGUGUUCCGGUUGUCACGCCAGUGGCAUUGCCGGGUAGCUAUGUUCGGAAUAGAUAACCGCUGAAAGCAUCUAAGCGGGAAACUAGCCUCAAGAUGAGAUCUCACUGGAACCUUGAGUUCCCUGAAGGGCCGUCGAAGACUACGACGUUGAUAGGUUGGGUGUGUAAGCGCUGUGAGGCGUUGAGCUAACCAAUACUAAUUGCCCGUGAGGCUUGACCAUAUAACACCCAAGCAAUU
rnacentral:rRNA from 1 species